UACGUAGGGAGCAAGCGUUGUCCGGAAUCAUUGGGCGUAAAGCGCGCGUAGGUGGCUUCGUAAGUCCGUUGUGAAAGUCAAAGGCUCAACCUUUGAAAGCCGAUGGAUACUGCGGAGCUAGAGUACGGAAGAGGCGAGUGGAAUUCCUGGUGUAGCGGUGGAAUGCGCAGAUAUCAGGAAGAACACCCGUGGCGAAGGCGGCUCUCUGGAACGCAACUGACGCUGAGACGCGAAAGCGUGGGGAGCAAACAGG
rnacentral:rRNA from 1 species